rnacentral:rRNA from 1 species
UGUCCUACGGGGCGCAGCAGUGGGGGAUAUUGCACAAUGGAGGAAACUCUGAUGCAGCGACGCCGCGUGAGGGAAGACGGUCUUCGGAUUGUAAACCUCUGUCUUUGGGGAGGAAAAUGACGGUACCCAAAGAGGAAGCUCCGGCUAACUACGUGCCAGCAGCCGCGGUAAUACGUAGGGAGCGAGCGUUGUCCGGAAUGAUUGGGCGUAAAGGGUGCGCAGGCGGUCCUGCAAGUCUGGAGUGAAACGCAUGAGCUCAACUCAUGCAUGGCUUUGGAAAC